AGCUAGUAGGUGAGGUAAAAGCUCACCUAGGCGACGAUCUCUAGCUGGUCUGAGAGGACGGCCAGCCACACUGGAACUGAGACACGGUCCAGACUCCUACGGGAGGCUGCAGUGGGGAAUAUUGCACAAUGGGGGAAACCCUGAUGCAGCUAUGCCGCGUGUGUGAAGAAGGUCUUCGGAUUGUAAAGCACUUUCAGCAAGGAAGAAAGCAAAUAUGCUAACACCAUAUUUGUGUGACGUUACUUGCAGAAGAAGCACCGGCUAACUCCGUGCCAGCAGCCGCGGUAAUACGGAGGGUGCGAGCGUUAAUCGGAAUUACUGGGCGUAAAGCGUNCGCAGGCGGUUUAUUAAGUCAGAUGUGAAAUCCCUGGGCUCAACCUAGGAACUGCAUUUGAAACUAAUAAACUAGAGUAUCGUAGAGGGAGGUAGAAUUCCAGGUGUAGCGGUGAAAUGCGUAGAUAUCUGGAGGAAUACCAGUGGCGAAGGCGACCUCCUGGACGAUAACUGACGCUCAUGUACGAAAGCGUGGGGAGCAAACAGGAUUAGAUACCCUGGUAGUCCAUGCCGUAAACGAUGUCGAUUUGAAGGUCGUAGUAUUUAUCCGUGAUUUUCGGAGCUAACGUGUUAAAUCGACCGCCUGGGGAGUACAACCGCAAGGUUAAAACUCAAAUGAAUUGACGGGGGCCGCACAAGCGGUGGAGCAUGUGGUUUAAUUCGAUGCAACGCGAAAAACCUUACCUACUCUUGACAUUUAGAGAAUUUAGCAGAGAU
rnacentral:rRNA from 1 species